rnacentral:rRNA from 1 species
GAUGAACGCUGGCGGCGUGCCUAAUACAUGCAAGUCGAGCGAACCACUUCGGUGGUGAGCGGCGAACGGGUGAGUAACACGUAGGUGAUCUGCCCAUCAGACGGGGACAACGAUUGGAAACGAUCGCUAAUACCGGAUAGGACGAAAGUUUAAAGGUGCUUCUGGCACCGCUGAUGGAUGAGCCUGCGGCGCAUUAGCUAGUUGGUAGGUAAAGGCCUACCAAGGCGACGAUGCGUAGCCGACCUGAGAGGGUGAACGGCCACACUGGGACUGAGACACGGGCCCAGACUCCUACGGGAGGCAGCAGUAGGGAAUCUUCGGCAAUGGGCGAAAGCCUGACCGAGCAACGCCGCGUGAAUGAUGAA